rnacentral:rRNA from 1 species
GAGUUUGAUUCUGGCUCAGAGCGAACGCUGGCGGCAGGCCUAACACAUGCAAGUCGAGCGCCCAGCAAUGGGAGCGGCAGACGGGUGAGUAACGCGUGGGGAUCUGCCCGAUGGUACGGAAUAAUUCCGGGAAACUGGGACUAAUACCGUAUGUGCCCGUAAGGGGAAAGAUUUAUCGCCAUCGGAUGAACCCGCGUCGGAUUAGCUAGUUGGUGUGGUAAAGGCGCACCAAGGCGACGAUCCGUAGCUGGUCUGAGAGGAUGAUCAGCCACACUGGGACUGAGACACGGCCCAGACUCCUACGGGAGGCAGCAGUGGGGAAUAUUGGACAAUGGGCGCAAGCCUGAUCCAGCCAUGCCGCGUGAGUGAUGAAGGCCUUAGGGUUGUAAAGCUCUUUCGCCGGUGAAGAUAAUGACGGUAACCGGAGAAGAAGCCCCGGCUAACUUCGUGCCAGCAGCCGCGGUAAUACGAAGGGGGCUAGCGUUGCUCGGAAUCACUGGGCGUAAAGCGCACGUAGGCGGGUCGUUAAGUCAGAGGUGAAAGCCUGGAGCUCAACU